UGAGCUGGGGUACACUGUUACAGGCAUCAGUGUCAUUUGAGGACGUGACCGUGGACUUCAGCAGGGAGGAGUGGCAGCAACUGGACCCUGCCCAGAGAUGCCUGUACCGGGAUGUGAUGCUGGAGCUCUAUAGCCACCUCUUCUCAGUGGGGUAUCACAUUCCCAACCCAGAGGUCAUCUUCAGAAUGCCAAAAGAAAAGGAGCCACGUGUGGAGGAGGCUGAAGUCUCACAUCAGAGGUGUCAAGAAAGGGAGUUUGGGCUUGAAAUCCCACAAAAGGAGAUUUCUAAGAAAGCUUCAUUUCAAAAGGAUAUGGUAGGUGAGUUCACAAGAGAUGGUUCGUGGUGUUCCAUUUUAGAAGAACUGAGGCUGGAUGCUGACCGCACAAAGAAAGAUGAGCAAAAUCAAAUUCAACCCAUGAGUCACAGUGCUUUCUUCAACAAGAAAACAUUGAACACAGAAAGCAAUUGUGAAUAUAAGGACCCUGGGGAAAUGAUUCACACGAGGCCCCACUUUGCUUCUUCACAGAAACAACCUCAGAAAUGUUGCUUAUUUACAAAAAGUUUGAAGCUGAACCUAGAAGUGAACGGUCAGAAUGAAAGCAAUGACACAGAACAGCUUGAUGACGUUGUUGGGUCUGGUCAGCUAUUCAGCCAUAGCUCUUCCGAUGCCUGCAGCAAGAAUAUUCAUACAGGAGAGACAUUUUGCAAAGGUAACCAGUGUAGAAAAGUCUGUGGCCAUAAACAGUCACUCACGCAACAUCAAAUUCAUACUCAGAAGAAACCAGAUGGAUGUUCUGAAUGUGGGGGGAACUUCACCCAGAAGUCACACCUCUUUGCCCAACAGAGAAUUCAUAGUGUAGGAAACCUCCAUGAAUGUGGCAAAUGUGGAAAAGCCUUCAUGCCACAACUAAAACUCAGUGUAUAUCUGACAGAUCAUACAGGUGAUAUACCCUGUAUAUGCAAGGAAUGUGGGAAGGUCUU
rnacentral:sRNA from 1 species